CAAAGUCCCAUGUAAUCGUCCUUGAAUAGAAGUACAUUUGUGUGCUACUCUGUUGCAGCUAUCUGGCAGAGACGCCAUAUGCCUGCCAAGAGAAGACUGGAUGUCUACUGGAAUUUAUAUUUUCUGUCGAAGGUCAAGAUGAAUCAAGGCCCUUCUAUUCCGUUCGCUUCAUGCUUCCAAUGCUAUCCCAAAUAACAACGACAGCUGAUGGAUGCAGAACUUUGGUGUCGUUUGGAGGCCAUAAAGCAGUUAUAGACUGCCUCAUUAAAAUGACAGAGCAGAAUGGAAUGAUGGUUGACAAUGGCAGCAUCUUUUUGGCGUGCGAUACUAUCAUAAACAUUAUGUCAAAUAGGAAGAGUUCCCAUAUGCAAAUGGAGCCUUGUUUCAUCUGUCUCCUGCAAGCACUUU